UUUCCGUAGGUGAACCUGCGGUAGGAUCAUUAUUGAAUAACCGAGGUGCGAGGGCUGUCGCUGACCCGAAAGGUCGUGCACGCCCGAGUGCCCUCACACACAUCCAUCUCACCCGUAUGUGCACCACCGCGUGGAUCCCCCUUUGGCUUGUUCGGAGGGGGGCUUACGUUUUCACACAAACUUUGUAUGCAGUGUAGAAUGUAUUUUUUGUUUUUGCGAUCACGCAAUCAAUACAACUUUCAACAACGGAUCUCUUGGCUCUC
rnacentral:misc_RNA from 1 species